rnacentral:rRNA from 1 species
UGGGGAAUUUUGGACAAUGGGCGAAAGCCUGAUCCAGCAAUGCCGCGUGAGUGAAGAAGGCCUUCGGGUUGUAAAGCUCUUUUGUCAGGGAAGAAACGGUUUGGGCUAAUACCCUGAGCUAAUGACGGUACCUGAAGAAUAAGCACCGGCUAACUACGUGCCAGCAGCCGCGGUAAUACGUAGGGUGCAAGCGUUAAUCGGAAUUACUGGGCGUAAAGCGUGCGCAGGCGGUUUUGUAAGUCUGACGUGAAAUCCCCGGGCUCAACCUGGGAAUUGCGUUGGAGACUGCAAGGCUAGAAUCUGGCAGAGGGGGGUAGAAUUCCACGUGUAGCAGUGAAAUGCGUAGAGAUGUGGAGGAACACCGAUGGCGAAGGCAGCCCCCUGGGUCAAGAUUGACGCUCAUGCACGAAAGCGUGGGGAGCAAACAGG